UGUUUAUUAUUUCGAUCAUUAUAGGUAAAACCGGACUGGCUUUAUUUAGACGAAAAUUCAAACACGUGAAUAAUGUUGUUAUAUGAACGUUCUAAUAUAAAAUCUAUUUUAUAAAAUUCUUCCUUAGCUAUUUUGUGAAAUAACUGAUGAAAUAAUUUAAAAUGACGGUUGCACUAUUCCUUCGAUUUAUAGGUUGUUAUUCUUGAAAAAUUAUUGCAGAUAAUAAUGGCGUGUACCAUGUUGAAGUGUAAAAUCUCAAACGUACUAUUUAAUCAAAUGUUAUUAAAUUGAUCAUGUCCCGUAAUGGAAAAUAAUUUUUGUGAUUUUGUUUAAUUAGAUUUUAAUUAUGUUUUUGUAAACAAUAUUUGCGACCAAACACAAAGCCAGUACGGUCUCAUUUUUUUAAUAUCUCGGUUUAUUCUGUUUUUAACUUUCAUCCAAUAAUUCGUAUGGAAAAAAAAUAAAAAUAAAAUGCUUUGAAUUUUUAAGUACUUUUGAAUAAUUUUCCAUCUCAACUUUAAUUCUACAUUGAAUAUUGUUACUGCAAUGUAAUGGAGCAGCUUGAAAAUAAAAUAACGUGUAUUAUUCAUUAUCGCUUUCUACUCAUUAAAAAAAUCAUAAACGCUAAAAAAAUUAUUGAUGUUUUUGAAUUCUCAUUGUAUUUACUUUUUACAUUUAUACUACUAUGCUCUAGUCAUUUUUCAGGAUUGCAUACCUCAUUUUUAGAAUAUCGAGAACUAAUUUUAAAAAAAUGUUAUUUGAAAUAUAGAGUAAAAUUUUAAGAUUUGUGUGAUGAAUUUUUUAAAAAAUGUAAAUAAAAUAGACGUAAUGAAAAAAAAUUUUGAAUUAUUUUUUUAUUAAAUUAAAUGUGGAAAAAAAAAUUCCUGGUUAUGAGCAAAAUGUGCUAAAGAAAAUUGCAUGCUAUGAGAAUAACAUAUCUAAAGUAAAUGAGAUCUGUUGUUUUUUAGAUUUUUUUUCCUAUAUUGUGGCAAUAUACUUUUUUUUUUACACUUGUUAGAUGUAUGAUGGAUACCAAAAUUUAUUGUGGUAUUUUUGCAUGUAUCACAUGAAUAAGAGUUGCUUUUAUAACUUUUCUAUCAAACUGUUUAUGAUUAUUUAAAGUAUAGAAUAAUUUUAUUAUGGAAUUAUAAUUGUUUUAUAGCUUCUAACAUCAUUCAUUACUUCACAUUAUAGCUAGCUAAUCUGUAAUAUUUUUUGAAAUUACUGAAUUAUUGCUGAUUUACUGAACUAAAUAUAUUACUGAGAACAAAAUAGAUUACUUUUCUAAUAAAUUCUGGAAUGUUAAUUGGAAUUGAGUACAAAAGUAAUAAUGUUCAUUCAGAUCUCUUUUUGUAAAUAUGUUGAUUUUGGAUUAUAUUUAAGAAAAAAAACCAUAUUCAUGGACAAAAACUUCAUGGCUUAGAGAAAAUACAACAGAGGAAGAAGAACUGAGACAAAAAAAUCAAACUAUUUUGAAAUCUCUUAUUGGAAGAAUGACGAGCAGUAUCAGAAAUUUUGAAAGAACGAUCUUUGCUUUUAGAUAAUUUUGUGCAUGCAUUUCAGAUUUCUAAAAAUAAAGCCUUAAACUGUUGAUCUUUUUUACUGAAUAUUCAACGGGGAUGAAAGUAUUAUAUGAAACCAACAAAAUUGUAUACUCACGGAAAUUACAAUGCAAGUAUACAUUUUCAGGAAUAUUUGCCUAAAGGCACCAACAUAUGAAAUAGUUUCUGCAGAUUCUUCUCACAACCACCCAUGAGUGGGCAGGUGGUACUCUACUUGUUCCUAAGCCCAUACCGGCAAAUGAAAGAUCUUUUGUUGCGGACAGAAUUUCUGAAAUUCUUGACAUUCUGCCAUCUAGGCAUUGGAAACAUGCCCGAAAGAAAGCCCUGCGGAUAUUGCUUCACGAAGUAUUGAUCCUGGUCUCUUUCUAGUGUGCAGCCUUUGAUGGUCAGUCUGUCCUGUCUGGCUUCAGUUAGAUAAAUAAAUUUUUAAAAAAUGGUCCGAGAAAACAGAUUCGGAAAAUGAAUCAGAACAAUGAUCUGAUUUGAUAUUUAAUUUCCUCAUACAGAAAUGAAUAAUGGUUUAUGAUUUAGUCAAUGAAUAGAAUAAUUAACGUCAUUGCUUUUUGUCAAAGCUUCAUCAGUAACUGUAGAAGUCAUGCUCUAAACGUACAGAAUUCUAAUAACUAAUCGUUUCUCAAUUCCAGUGAAAGGCAGAUAUCUCUUCGCACCAUUUUGCUAAUUAUUCUGAAUUCUAUUCUUAUAAAAUAAAAUAUGUAAAUUUUUUCCAAAAUCUCUUAAUCAUUUGCCUUGAAGUACGCAUAUCGAGAUGCUUUUGUUAUAGAAUCACCUACGACGUGCUACACACAUUAAUAAGCAACUGUUACAGAAGUAAAAAUGAUAUUCACGACCCAUCGCCUGUGAUUGUUUGUCGGAACACUAUCUUAGAUUGAAAAUUAAUCCAUUUAGAAGAUAUAAUUCUUUUCCCAUUUUCUGUAAAGUGUUGGAUACAUUGUGCGGCCUCACUGCAUGUUAAAAUGAAUUGUUUAAACCUGCGCAUUUGUGAAUUUCUUACCACUGCAAAUGGAUAAUAUAGAUUAAUGCUUUUCUAUACAAAAACGGAAUGUUAGGGUCGGAAGAACGUUUGCAGAACUCAUCAGUGUCAUUUCAAGCAAAGCAUUCUGUGAUUUUGUUUUCCAGCCAUAAACCAAGUUUCCUACUUAUAAAAGAAUUCUAUCUUCGUGUUAAGCCAACAUUGCUACCAACAUUCUUCGAUAAAAAGUUUGGAUUUUAAGAGGCAAAAGACUUGUUUGAAAAAUCGUGUACCACCGUGCUAUCUCCAUCCGUUUCCAACAAACUACAAGGGUUGGAAUUUUAAUAGUGGCAACACUGCUGUAAAAACGCUACGCAACAAAACCAAAGAAUGUCACAUAUACCACACGUUAGCUACAUACCUACCUUACCUCUCAUCAAAAAGACACGUCCUUCCUACGUCACGCGCAUGAGGAUUGACGCGAAGAACUGAUCCUUGUAUUAGCUUGCGGUCUAAAGUAAGUGUUGUCAGGAUGUUUUCAAAACAAGAACAACGAAAUUGUAUAAAAAUUGAAUGUGCCAGAGGUCGUAUAGCACGACAAUGUCAUGUAGGACUUCAAGAGGCUUGCGAGGAAAUCUGCUUUACCUUACAGAACUGUUGCAAGAUGGAUAAAAGCCUUCAAUGAAGAACACCAAAAUGUGUCAGACAUGCAUCGGACAGGUCAUUCAAGUGUCAGCGAAGCAGAAGUGCAUGCUGUUGCCACAAUAAUGGACAGUGAUCGAUGCCAAGCCAUUCGUGAGCUGACUCAACAGACAGGAUUUGUGUUUACGACUGUGCUACACAUUCUGAAUAACGCCUGGGCAUGAGAAAAAUUGCUUCACGAUGGGUUCCACUUCAUUUGACGGAAAUGCAGAAAUGGCUACGAUACAAUGCUGCUCGAAUCCACUUUGAGUGCGAAGGAGAUGCUUUUUUUACACCGUAUCAUUACGCUGGAUGAGACUUGUCCAGAUCGUACCAGCCAAAACUCAAACGCCAAUCAAUCGAAGGGCGUCAUUAUGGGCCACCUUGAAGUUCGAAAUUUUUUCAGAAUGAUGAGGAUUAUGUUCAACCUCCAGAUAUAUCUUCAAGUGAUGAAGAGAUAUUGGAAAUUGAAGAUACCGAUGAUACUAUUUUAUCAAGUGAGUGCAGACCUGGUCCUUCUCAGCCCAUUGAAGUGACUUGGGUACCAAAGGGCAACUCAAAGACUGUUUUGCCAGAUUUCUGUGCGGAAGCAAGUCCAUCAGAAGACAUUCUAGCAAUACUGAAAAAAAUCCAAUUUCUAUAUUCUUGGCAUUAUUUACAAAAAUUCUCAUGGAAGAAAUAGUUUUCCAAACAAACCUCUAUGCAACGCAAGAAGGAAAGCAAUUUACUCCUCUAACUUUAGAAGAACUGAUGAGAUUUUUGGGUAUAAACUUGCUAAUGGGAAUUAAAAGAAUAACGAGCUAUCGAGAUUAUUGGUCGUCUUUUGAAGAUCUGCAUGGUGGAUAUAUUUCGAAGCAGAUGUCUAUGAAAAGAUUUUCCUGGAUUCUGAGCCACCUGCAUUUGAAUGAUAACACGGUUCAACCAAAACAUGGUGAAGAAAAUUUUGACAAAUUAUAUAAGGUGCAACCUUUUCUGUCAACUUUGGGCAAAAACUUUCAAGCUGCUAUAAAACUGGACAAAAUCAAGCUAUUGAUGAGUCCAUGAUAAAAUUUAAAGGUAGGAGCUCGAUCAAACAAUACAUGCUGAAAAACCGAUAAAGAGAGGCUAUAAAGUAUGGAUGAGGUGUGAAGAAAAUGGAUACGCUUCCCAGUUUGAGAUUUAUACUGGAAAAAUUGAUCAGACUGUACAGAAGAACUUAGGCGAAAGUGUUGUGAAGUCACUCAGCAAAUCUCUCUAUGGGAAAAAUCAUAGAUUGUUUAUGGAUAAUUUUUUUACGUCCUAUGGAUGAGACUUGGCCAGAUCGUACCAGCCAAAACUCAAACGCCAAUCAAUCGAAGGGCGUCAUUAUGGGCCACUUUGAAGUUCGAAAUUUUUUCAGAACCCCAGCAAUGUGAAAGUUAUGCUGAUUCUCGUGUAUGACUGUGAUGGUGUCAUCCUAACGCAUACCGUUCCCCCACAGCAGGCCGUCAAUGCGCAGUGUUACUGCUCAUUUUUGAGCAGCAUCUCAGAUCAGCUUUGAGAAAAUAACGGCGAAACUUUCAGUACAACGUCCCUAUCAUUUUGCAUGACAAUGCUCGGCCGCAUGCAGCGCAAGCUGUGGCUGAUUUGCUCGAUCGAUGGGGCUGGAAAGUACUUUACCAAUCACCAUACUACCCAGAUCUAAGCCCAAGUGACUUUGACUUAAUUCCUAAGAUGAAGAAACCAUUUCGUGGCAUUCGCUUCAAAAUUGUUCCAGAGAUUCUUGCGGCAGUAGACCGGUCCAUUCGAACUAUCAACAAAACAGGCGCUGCUACAGAUGUUCUGCGACUUCCCCAUCGUUGGAUGAAGAUCUGUAAAACAUACUGAAUAUAGCUUCCAUAUUGAAGAUCUGUAAAACAUGGUAGCAUGAAUCACUUUUGUAUUCCAUGUAAAUAAAGAGUUGCCACUAUUAAAGUUACAACCCUCGCAAAUCCCAACAAUUAAAGGAUAAUUUAUCGAAGCACCGAGUUACUCCAAACUGUGCAUUUUAUUGAACCAGUCUGUAUUAUGCAAGAUCAGUUGUAGUAAAAUCUAACAAAAUCCAAAAGUAAUCAAAGCAUGGAUUGCCAUUUUUGUUUCUCUGCCGACGAAAUCUCAUUAUUUUGAACUUGUUAUUGUAACGUUUUCCCUCACUGGUUAAUGGCAUUCUGACCAGUUGUAACUUCUCCCGUUUUUCCACUCAUAGUUAAGUGCAUGCGGAUCUUCAGAUGUGGAUCCCUUUCACCUGGAGAGUCAUUGUAUCUGGCCAAAUGUUAUUAUAUCCAGGUAUGGAAAAACAGUUGUGUAUCCCGUCAGAUAGAUCCAGCAUAUCUUCAAGAGAGAGGAACGUCAAAACAUUCAGAUCCUAACCUUUUUUUUUCUUUGUGAAGAGACUCCUCAAGUCAUCAACAACCGAUCAUUCACCAGCAACCAUUGUCAUUAAGUGUCAAAUCCAGGUGCACUUCAGCAGGCGUUAGUAACGAAUUGAUUAUAAUUGACAUAUGCUCAAGAGGUGGCCUUAGUUCCUUAAUAGACAUUCCCUCAGUUUGGGAUUAGACCAUUGAGAAAACAUUGCUGAGCAGCUAUUUGGUGAUAGGGAACUCAAUUUCACCUAUGAGAAAACCAGAGGUUGUUAUCAGAUGGAAAUAAAAUGCGAUUGUGUGUUUUUUUAGAGGAAAGUGAGAAGAAAGGCUUCGAAUUAGAAUUCGAGGAGACUUCGGAGUGCGGAAAAGUUGUUCCUUAUUUUUUGAGAAGCACCGUGUGAUUCGGGCUUCCACUCGAUAAAGAUCGAUGGAUUUCUGGAGUAGCUGUUUAUAGCUAACAGCCUGUUAGCGGUUUUUUUGGUGACUUAUUCUCCGAUUUGAUUGUGGAACUAUUGCGUGAUUGAAUUGUUAUUUGAUUUUUGUAAAUAAUUUUAACCUGUAUGAAAACAAGUUGUUCGUUGUAAAUAUAUAGGUCUGUAAAUAAAAGCAUUACUUUGUUA